GCAGGGAUGGCACAGCGGCUACUGCAAACGGCUGCAGCCCGUUUUUUCCCGGGUUCGAGUCCCGGUCCCUGCU
rnacentral:tRNA from 1 species